CCUACGGGAGGCAGCAGUGAGGAAUAUUGGUCAAUGGACGAGAGUCUGAACCAGCCAAGUAGCGUGAAGGAUGACUGCCCUCUGGGUUGUAAACUUCUUUUAUAUGGGAAUAAAAUGUUCCACGUGUGUGAUUUUGUAUGUACCAUAUGAAUAAGGAUCGGCUAACUCCGUGCCAGCAGCCGCGGUAAUACGGAGGAUCCGAGCGUUAUCCGGGUUUAUUGGGUUUAAAGGGAGCGUAGGUGGAUUGUUAAGUCAGUUGUGAAAGUUUGCGGCUCAACCGUAAAAUUGCAGUUGAAACUGGCAGUCUUGAGUACAGUAGAGGUGGGCGGAAUUCGUGGUGUAGCGGUGAAAUGCUUAGAUAUCACGAAGAACUCCGAUUGCGAAGGCAGUUCACUGGACUGCAACUGACACUGAGGCUCGAAAGUGUGGGUAUCAAACAGGAUUAGAUACCCUAGUAGUC
rnacentral:rRNA from 1 species